rnacentral:rRNA from 1 species
GAGUUUGAUCCUGGCUCAGGAUGAACGCUGGCGGCGUGCCUAACACAUGCAAGUCGAACGGACUUAACAUGAAACCUAGUGAUUGUUAAGUUAGUGGCGGACGGGUGAGUAACGCGUGGAUAACCUGCCGUAUGCAGGGGGAUAACAGUUGGAAACAGCUGCUAAUACCGCAUAAGCGCACAGUGCCGCAUGGCACAGUGCGAAAAGAUUUAUCGGCAUACGAUGGAUCCGCGUCCGAUUAGCCAGUUGGCGGGGUAACGGCCCACCAAAGCGACGAUCGGUAGCCGGCCUGAGAGGGCGGACGGCCACAUUGGGACUGAGACACGGCCCAAACUCCUACGGGAGGCAGCAGUGGGGAAUAUUGCACAAUGGGGGAAACCCUGAUGUAGCGACGCCGCGUGAGUGAAGAAGUAUUUCGGUACGUAAAGCUCUAUCAGCAGGAAAGAAAAUGACGGUACCUGACUAAGAAGCCCCGGCUAACUACGUGCCAGCAGCCGCGGUAAUACGUAGGGGGCAAGCGUUAUCCGGAUUUACUGGGUGUAAAGGGAGCGUAGACGGCGCUGCAAGUUCCGGAGUGAAAGCCCAUGGCUUAAACCAUGGUACUGCUCUGGAAACUGUGGAGCUUGAGUGCGGGAGGGGCAGGCGGAAUUCCUAGUGUAGCGGUGAAAUGCGUAGAUAUUAGGAGAACACCGGCGGCGAAGGCGGCCUGCUGGACCGUUAACUGACGUUGAGGCUCGAAAGCGUUGGGAGCAAACAGGAUUAGAUACCCUGGUAGUCCACGCCGUAAACGAUGAUUACCAGGUGUCGCGGUACGAAGUACUGCGGUGCCGGCGCAAACGCAAUAAGUAAUCCACCUGGGGAGUACGUUCGCAAGAAUGAAACUCAAAGGAAUUGACGGGGACCGCACAAGCGGUGGAGCAUGUGGUUUAAUUCGAAGCAACGCGAAGAACCUUACCUGGCCUUGACAUCCCGAUGAAUGUGAAGUAAUGUUCACAGCCCUUCGGGGCAUUGGAGACAGGUGGUGCAUGGUUGUCGUCAGCUCGUGUCGUGAGAUGUUGGGUUAAGUCCCGCAACGAGCGCAACCCCUGCCGUCAGUAGCCAGCAUGUAAAGAUGGGCACUCUGACGGGACAGCCUGGGACAACCAGGAGGAAGGCGGGGAUGACGUCAAAUCAUCAUGCCCCUUAUGGCCAGGGCUACACACGUGCUACAAUGGCGUAAACAGAGGGAAGCAGGACAGCGAUGUUAAGCAAAGCCCAAAAAUAACGCCUCAGUUCGGAUUGCAGCCUGCAACUCGGCUGCAUGAAGCCGGAAUCGCUAGUAAUCGCGGAUCAGAAUGCCGCGGUGAAUACGUUCCCGGGUCUUGUACACACCGCCCGUCACACCAUGGGAGUCGGAAAUGCCCGAAGUCGGUGACCCAACUGCAAAGAGGGAGCCGCCGAACGGGUCCGGUAACUGGGGUGAAGUCGUAACAAGGUAGCCGUAUCGGAAGGUGCGGCUGGAUCACCUCCU